rnacentral:rRNA from 1 species
UACGUAGGGGGCAAGCGUUGUCCGGAUUUACUGGGCGUAAAGAGCGUGUAGGCGGCCACGUAGGUCCGUUGUGAAAACUGGAGGCUCAACCUUCAGACGUCGACGGAAACCGUAUGGCUAGAGUCCGGAAGAGGAGAGUGGAAUUCCUGGUGUAGCGGUGAAAUGCGCAGAUAUCAGGAAGAACACCAAUGGCGAAGGCAGCUCUCUGGGACGGUACUGACGCUGAGACGCGAAAGCGUGGGGAGCGAACAGG